rnacentral:rRNA from 1 species
AUACGUAGGUGGCAAGCGUUAUCCGGAUUUACUGGGUGUAAAGGGCGCGUAGGCGGGGAUGCAAGUCAGAUGUGAAAUCUAUGGGCUUAAAUCAUAAACUGCAUUUGAAACUGUGUCUCUUGAGUGCUGGAGAGGUAGACGGAAUUCCUUGUGUAGCGGUGAAAUGCGUAGAUAUAAGGAAGAACACCAGUGGCGAAGGCGGUCUGCCGGGCAGUAACUGACUCUGAGGCGCGAAUGCGUGGGGAGCAAACAGGAUUCGAUUCCCUGGUAGUCCACGCUGUAAACGAUGAAUACUAGGUGUGGGGGGACUGACCCCCUCCGUGCCGCAGUUAACGCAAUAAGUAUUUCACCUUGGUAGUACGGCCGCAAGGUUGACACUCAAAUGAAUUGACGGGG